AUGAGGUACCUUCUCGACCGUAGCGCCGACCCAUCCAUGGCCGAUGACAGGGGCUCCGUGUCACUGCACAAUGCAGCAGAGGAAGGACACUGCGAGGCUGUGAGGCUAUUGCUGUCCAAAGGGGUUCAUGUGGACGCUAUGGAUCAUCGGGGCACGCCAUUACACUUGGCGGUUGCAAAGGACCAUGUUGAGGUUGUGAAGGUUCUGCUGGAGCAUGGUGCUGAUCCCAACAGAGUGGCUAAUCACGUCUUUUCACCACUCAUGAUGGCCGUCUGUGGAAAGGCCUUGAAAUGCAUGAAGCUACUGAUUGAGGCUGGCGCUGACGUGAAUGUUCAUGGUUACUCUGGACCAACUCCUUUAACGGAAGCAGUUGAUGAUGGCUUAAUGGACUUUGUCAUGAUUUUACUAGAGGCUGGAGCCGACGCUAACAUCCCUAACCAGCAUGGCGCAGUUCCAAUUGAGCUAGCAGCAGCUCGUGGUCAACGUGAGCUUGUUGAAAUGCUGUUUCCUAAGACAAAACCCAUUCCAUCUCAGCCAGUUUGGAGCGUUAAUGGGAUAAUGAAUACUGCAAGAUCUCCACAUAUCAAGCAUCAGGACGCAUCUUCUGUGGAACAACGGAUAGCUGAUUUGAAGUCAUGUGGAAAGGAAGCAUUUGGGAAGGAAGACUAUAUUACAUCGAUGUACUUCUUGCUGAAAUCUGAGAUGGGCUCUAGGCCCAUAUUGCAAUUUCUGAAAAAUCUCUAA
rnacentral:rRNA from 1 species